rnacentral:rRNA from 1 species
GCUGGAAGAUGACGAGCGGCGGACGGGUGCGUAACACGUAGGAAUCUACCCGGUAGCGGGGGAUAGCCCGGAGAAAUCCGGAUUAAUACCGCAUACGCCCUACGGGGGAAAGCAGGGGCUCGCUCUUUCGAGAGUGACCUUGCACUAUUGGAUGAGCCUGCGUCGGAUUAGCUUGUUGGUGGGGUAAUGGCCUACCAAGGCAACGAUCCGUAGCUGAUCUGAGAGGAUGAUCAGCCACACUGGGACUGAGACACGGCCCAGACUCCUACGGGAGGCAGCAGUGGGGAAUAUUGCACAAUGGGCGAAAGCCUGAUGCAGCCAUGCCGCGUGUGUGAAGAAGGCUCUAGGGUUGUAAAGCACUUUCAGCGAGGAGGAAAGGUUAAAGAUUAAUACUCUUUAGCUGUGACGGUACUCGCAGAAGAAGCACCGGCUAACUCCGUGCCAGCAGCCGCGGUAAUACGGAGGGUGCGAGCGUUAAUCGGAAUUACUGGGCGUAAAGCGUGCGUAGGCGGCUGUCUAAGUUGGGUGUGAAAGCCCCGGGCUCAACCUGGGAACUGCAUCCAAAACUGGAUAGCUAGAGUGCGGAAGAGGAGUGUGGAAUUUCCUGUGUAGCGGUGAAAUGCGUAGAUAUAGGAAGGAACACCAGUGGCGAAGGCGACACUCUGGUCUGACACUG